UACGGAGGGUGCAAGCAUUGAUCGGAAUUACUGGGCGUAAAGGGCGCGUAGGCGGUCCGAAAAGUCGGAUGUGAAAUUCCUGGGCUCAACCCCGGAGCUGCAUUUGAAAUUUUCGGACUAGAGGUUGGUAAGGGAAAACAGAAUUCCACGUGUAGCGGUGAAAUGCGUAGAUAUGUGGAAGAAUACCGGUGGUGAAGACGGUUUUCUGUGCCAAACCUGACGCUGAGGCGCGAAAGCUAGGGGAGCAAACAGG
rnacentral:rRNA from 1 species